UACGGGAGGCAGCAGUGGGGAAUAUUGCACAAUGGGCGCAAGCCUGAUGCAGCCAUGCCGCGUGUAUGAAGAAGGCCUUCGGGUUGUAAAGUACUUUCAGCGGGGAGGAAGGCGUUGAGGUUAAUAACCGCAGCGAUUGACGUUACCCGCAGAAGAAGCACCGGCUAACUCCGUGCCAGCAGCCGCGGUAAUA
rnacentral:rRNA from 1 species